rnacentral:rRNA from 1 species
UACGUAGGGUGCAAGCGUUAAUCGGAAUUACUGGGCGUAAAGCGUGCGCAGGCGGUUAUGUAAGACAGAUGUGAAAUGCCCGGGCUUAACCUGGGAACUGCAUUUGUGACUGCAUGGCUAGAGUGUGUCAGAGGGGGUAGAAUUCCACGUGUAGCAGUGAAAUGCGUAGAUAUGUGGAGGAAUACCGAUGGCGAAGGCAGGUCCCUGGUCAGUAGGUGACUACUCGUGAGACGAAAGCGUGGGGAGCAACAGG